UAACAACACACAACAUUCCAGGAAUGUACUACCAAAGUUCUAUCAAUAUUUGAAUGUCCUGGACAUUUAGGGAACAUUCGGUGAACAUCUGUUUAAAUUAUUCCUGGAAUGUUACCAUAAGACAUUCUGUGAACAUACUACCAAUGUUCCUAUAUUUUAAGUUGCGAAAUAAUACAUACGUGUAAGAGAUACAACAUUACUUAUAACAUACCAGACAAACUAAGUGACAUUUUAGGCCUACAGUGCAAUAAUAUGUCAAAUUUAAAGAGUUUCCCAAGAUUAUAAACAUACAAAUGUAAUAAAAAUUAUUGUUCGCGAAUAUUCAAUUUGGAAUGCGAUUUUGUUAAUAAAAAAAAAUACUUAUAACUUAUGCAAAACCCAAGAGAGGCAUUUAUAUUUAUUUCUUUUGCGUUCAUUUACAAAUUCGCCGUGCAUAUAUUUUUGUGCAUGGCGCUUGAGAGGGCAUCACGUGACUAAAAACGACCAACCAACGACCUCGCUUCGGCCAUCUUGGCAUCUUCAUCUUGGCGACCUUGCCUUGCCGUGGAUUGUUUUUAGUUGUUUAUAUUAUUUGUGCUUUUUAAGAAUAUUUUUUUAAUUCGGAUACUUUUAUAAUAGCUUUAAUAGUAUUAUUAACAUAGUGCAUAAAAUGGUGUCCUGUUUUUAACGCAGUUGGAGUAGCAGAAACAAAUGUAGAUAAAAAAAUCUGCAGGAAUAACGUUUCAAUUAUGACAGAAGCUCAAAACAAAUGACUGUGAAUGAAAAGCCCUAUUAAAAGCUUUCCAGAAGAUCCUGCGAAGAAGACAUGAAGUAUAGAUCAGAUUUGUUAAUAGAGGAGUAUGUUCAAAACACUUUUUAGAAAAUGAUAUUGACAGAACUUCACUUUCAUCUGUUCGUUUGAGAGACUGUGCUGUUCCAAUAGCUUAUGUCACACAGAAUCAGCUGAGAGAAGUGGUCUACAAAAAACCAGAAAGGAAACGGAAUAUGUGGCUACGAAAAGCAAAAGAAAGGUUUACAAAGCAAAUGUGACACAUUUUUUUAUAAUAUUUAGGAAUG